rnacentral:tRNA from 1 species
GAGGUGUGGCGCAAUGGCUAGCGCAGUUGUUUCCAAGUCAAAAGGUUGGGGGUUCGAAUCCCUCCACUUC